CAUCGUGUUCCCUAACUUGAGGAGUGUUCAAUCUGCCACGUCAAUUAAUGAGGCAUGAUCCAACGCUCCUUGUUUUUUCUGAUUUUAAUUCUUUUUCUUUUAUUAUUUUUAAUUUAUUUUCUUUUAAAGUUCAUAGUAAUUUUCAUCCAAAAAUCCCAAAAUAAUUUCUAAAAUUCUCUUUUAUUUUUCUUCAUCUGAUU
rnacentral:lncRNA from 1 species